rnacentral:rRNA from 1 species
AUUGAACGCUGGCGGCAGGCCUAACACAUGCAAGUCGAGCGGAUGAAGGGAGCUUGCUCCUGGAUUCAGCGGCGGACGGGUGAGUAAUGCCUAGGAAUCUGCCUGGUAGUGGGGGAUAACGUCCGGAAACGGGCGCUAAUACCGCAUACGUCCUGAGGGAGAAAGUGGGGGAUCUUCGGACCUCACGCUAUCAGAUGAGCCUAGGUCGGAUUAGCUAGUUGGUGGGGUAAAGGCCUACCAAGGCGACGAUCCGUAACUGGUCUGAGAGGAUGAUCAGUCACACUGGAACUGAGACACGGUCCAGACUCCUACGGGAGGCAGAAGUGGGGAAUAUUGGACAAUGAGCGAAAGCCUGAUCCAGCCAUGCCGCGUGUGUGAAGAAGGUCCUCGGAUUGUAAAGCACUUUAAGUUGGGAGGAAGGGCAGUAAGUUAAUACCUUGCUGUUUUGACGUUACCAACAGAAUAAGCACCGGCUAACUUCAUG